rnacentral:rRNA from 1 species
UGAGGAAUUUUGCGCAAUGGGGGAAACCCUGACGCAGCAACGCCGCGUGAGUGAUGAAGGCCUUCGGUCGUAAAGCUCUGUCAAGUGGGAAGAAUCUGCUUUGUGAUAAUACCAUAGAGCACUGACGGUACCACUGAAGGAAGCACCGGCUAACUCCGUGCC